AUUCCAGCUCCAAUAGCGUAUAUUAAAGUUGUUGCAGUUAAAAAGCUCGUAGUUGAACUUUGGGCUUGGUCAGCCGGUCCGCUUUUUUGCGUGUACUGGUCCUGACCGAGCCUUUCCUUCUGGCUAACCUGUCUCUCGGGGCAGGCGAACCAGGACUUUUACUUUGAAAAAAUUAGAGUGUUCAAAGCAGGCCUUUGCUCGAAUAUAUUAGCAUGGAAUAAUAGAAUAGGACGUUUGGUUCUAUUUUGUUGGUUUCUAGGACCAUCGUAAUGAUUAAUAGGGACGGUCGGGGGCAUCAGUAUUCAAUUGUCAGAGGUGAAAUUCUUGGAUUUAUUGAAGACUAACUACUGCGAAAGCAUUUGCCAAGGACGUUUUCAUCG
rnacentral:rRNA from 1 species